GACAGAGGGUGCAAACGUUGCUCGGAAUUACUGGGCGUAAAGCGCGUGUAGGCGGGCUGAUAAGUCGGACGUGAAAUCCCUGGGCUCAACCCAGGAACUGCAUCCGAAACUGUCAGUCUGGAGUGGUGGAGAGGGAAGCAGAAUUCCUGGUGUAGAGGUGAAAUUCGUAGAUAUCAGGAGGAACACCAGUGGCGAAGGCGGCUCACUGGCCCGGUACUGACGCUGAGGUGCGAAAGCGUGGGGAGCAAACAGG
rnacentral:rRNA from 1 species